rnacentral:lncRNA from 1 species
CUCAAAUUAAAGCAGGGCAGAGCCAUAAAACUAUUAUAAUCCAGGGGAACCUGGAUUUGGGGCCUUUUCAUUUUGAAAGCAAUAUCCAAAUCUACCCAGAAAGUCUAAUUAAAUCCUUACGGAUCUACUUCUAAUUGGCUGCUAUCCAAUUAGCAUUCUGAAACCUGAAUGCUCAGAUCAGCCCUCCUUCCCAUCUUGGUGGAGGGGCAGGGGGAGUACAUUAGAGGAACAAAAGAACAAAAAAGAGGCUUUAAGCUUCUGCUAGAAGCCAGUAUCACAAAUCUAGAAUGACAAGCCAAAGCCAAGAUAUAGUUGGCCAGGGGCAGCCAGUAUCCUUCAUUUUCUUAUUCAUUCAUUAAUUCACUCAUUUAUCAGGUGGACAUUUGCAGGGCACCAGUGAUGCUGUCAGGCACCAUGUUUGGUGAUGAGUUACCAGAUGGUCCUAGCAGAUGAAAAGACUGGGAACCCACUGGGAAGGAUACAAAAAUUAUUACACAGCUAUCAGAGCAAGAGGGAGGUUAGUAAAAGCUGGUGGACCUUAAAGUUUCUCUACUUUUGCAAGUGUAAAAACUGGGGUAAAGAUAGAGUUUGGGAUAACGGACACAGCCAUAGCCAAAGAAUGAGUCUAGUGUCUAUAGAGAAGUUGUGAUAUUUGGAAUUUUCCAUGUGCAAACACACACGCACAUGCACGCGCACACGCACACACACCACACACUCCUCACCUUUGCCAUUUUCAUAGGGAAACAUGAAGAAACAAGUAUAUGGAUUUUGGAAUUGGGCAGUGUUUUAUUUCAGCCCCAUGUUCGCUUGCUAGCUAUGUGAUAUGUGACUUUGGGCAACUUGUUUAUCUUUUCUGGGAAAACAUAUACCUCUAGGGGUGCAGUAAGGGAUAACUGGGAACAGUGGAGUGUGUGCCUGGUACAAAGCCUGCGGUGUAGAUGCCAUUUAAUAAAUGAUGGUUUUCUCUAUCCUGCAUCUUGAGAGUAGAUCCAAUCUAUUGUUUAUUCUUUACAGUAGGCAUGGUAGAGUAAAAGGAACAAAGGAAUCGAGGGAGGAAGGGAAGAAAAAAUGAGAAAAACCAUAAGGCCAGGCGCGGUAGCUCACGCCAGUAAUCCUAAUACUUUGGGAAGCUGAGGCGGGUGGGCGGACCACGAAGUCAGGAGUUCGAGACCAGCCUGACCAAUAUGGCAAAACCCCAUCUCUACUAAAAAUCCCAAAAAAAAAAAAAAAAAAAAAAAAAAGUUAGCCGGGUAUGGUGGCACGUGCCUGUAAUCCCAGCUUCUGGGGAGGCUGAAGCAGGAGAAUUGCUUGAAACCGGGAGGUGGAGGUUGCAGUGAGCCGGGAUC